AUCGAUAAUAUAAUCGAUUUUGCUCAUUCUCUUCUCUACGUACAUAACAAAUUUUGUCCUCACAAUUUCUCUAGUAGCGUGAAUUUUUUUAUAAAACAUUUCUUCUACAUAUGUGAAUGUUAGAGGUGAAGGCCAGUAAAACAAAAAUACUUUGAGAUAAAACAUAAUUAGAAGUUUUUUCAAAAUGUCCGCUGGUUGUUCUCAUUCACGCCAAAGACAAUUUUUACGCUACGGCGGUAACAUACAAGAAUUGCGUGAGCAAUUACAUCAGGAAAUCGAAAACAAAGCAAAACGUUGUUCCAACUCAACCUACGAAUGUUCAAUACCACGUGUCGAUGGCUAUGAAUAUUGUAUGCGGCAUAUUUUACAGGAUCCCUGUGGAAACUUCCGCCAAUGCACUUUUAAUUAUGGAAACGGCCGCAAAUGUGCCAAUGCACUACAAAAGCAUGACAUAAAAAAAGAUCCAGCAUUGACAACGCUCUGUUUUGAACAUAAUCGCCAAGCGCAGCUCCAGAAGACACAUGCAACAGUUGGAAAAUUGAAGCGCACCGAUACCAAUGAAGUAUUGUUGAAUAAUUUAGCACAUCACAUCAAUGUUGAAGAUGUACAGCAGGAAGAAGCAAUUGCAGAGCAAGAUGAAGAAAUUGAUGUGGUGUCACCUCAUGUGGCGCCAUUUGUCGCAUACGAUCAGGUUAAUAGCCUUAAUGCUGCCUUAUCGAACAUGCAAAAGAGACGGCGCAUCCUGGAUUAUGCAUCUGAUAGCAACAGCGAAGAUAAUGAACCACCCAGUAUAAACAACACAGCGCGUGGUUAUGAUUUCAACGAGUCGGACGAUGAUAGUGCAGACUCGGCACCUGAGGAUUUAAUGAAGCAUGCUGGCAUUUACACACGUGAAGAAGCUGUGCGUAUUGCUGAAGCAAAACUCACAAAACUGCAAGGCUUGUACAUUGAUCAAAUCAAUAGUUUGCAUCACACACUUAAAGAACGCCGGCGUCGCUAUUUACAAACCUUGCGUAAGGAACGUGAAAUGUUAUGUAGCAUACAUGAUCAAUUGAAGGACUCGCCGCGCGAACGUAAACUCUACGAUCAACUUAAGGCGCUUAACACAUAUCAUCGGCGUUAUGGAGUUGAAGCAGUGCUCUAUAAGAAAUUCAAAGAAAAGCGUUCGCGCGCCACUGAAGGCUAUGCACAUAAAGGUCCAGGUUUUACUAAAUGUGCCUUCUCUGAGGGUGGCGUUAAGUGCGGUGAACGUGCGAUGCCAUGCUGUAAAUACUGCCGCAAACAUAUUAUGGAAGACAAAAAACAAAUACUUUUCCGUGCCUGUGAGGUGGAGAAGAGCGGUGUUGUGUGCCAGGAACCAAUACCGUGCAUCUUUGACGAUGCAUCGACUUGUAUCUUGCAUUUGGCUAUACCCGCCCGCCGUCAAUAUAUACAAAAGGAUUACCCUAAAUAUGCUCCCGUAUCGUGAAGGAGCGAAAUACAGGGAAAGGGUAAUUUAAGACUGUGACGUUGUGAAAGCAAAAUAAACAAAUGCUUAAUUAUAAUAUAAAUAUAAUUAAAUGAAAUGUUAAUUAACAUUGCUUUUACUAUGGCCAAUAUGUUUGUGUAAUGUGCGAAAAGCGUUCAAAUUUAGGUACUAAUUGUAAUCACCAAAAGAAAACAAAAAAAAGUAUCAAAAGAUUGCACAACCACUUAAUGGAACUUAAUCGUUAAAAAUAUGAAUCGGAAACUGAAGAAGACGAUGCAAAGGAAAAAACCAAUUUGAAAUCGCCCAGUCAAACGAAUGUCAAAACGGAAAGUGCAGUUGCAACAUCGCCUAUACGAAAAACGGCAAUUUCGCAGCGCAGUGAGCCGAAGGCCACAACCUCAAAAGCCAGUAAAUAGUUUAAUUGUGUGCGCCCAACUAGUUUAAGUUUCAAAAUUCAAUAUUAUGUUAAAUGUUUUAAAGAUAUUUUUUAAUAUCUUACCCUGUUUUAGAAAAAUUCCUUAUAUAAGCGUUGCAAUAUUUACAUGACUAAUAAAGUACUAGUCGAUUUUAAA